UUAUAAUCUUCCAAAUAGCACAUUAUGGAUAUUUGUCAUCGCCAGAGAAGCCUUAGUUUGGCAAGAAAGGUCCCCAAAUCCCCAUGUAAGUUUCCCUGUAAGUCAUGGGUCAGGAGGGAUAGAGGAUGUGUCUUCACAAUUAGCUGUCAGAAAUCAUCCUGAGCGACAUGAGCAUCAAUCCACUGUGCCCAAAACUAAAACAAAUCUUAGAACAUGCAUUAUGACAUAUUCUCAUGGAGUGCAAGAGUCAACAAUGAGCCACUUUUUCCACUUGAACUGUCACCUUCUAGAACAGAUCCCAGGUAAGAACAGAGACUAGCUCCCUGCUCCUUCACCCGCAGCCCUGAAUCUCCCCCUCUAUUUCCCUCCUCGAUCCUCCUGUCCAAUAGAGGCUACCCCCACUCACCGCAGGGUGAUGCAGAAAAUCAGAGGAGGCCACGGGAAGAGAGGGAGGCUCACAGCACACUCAGCUAAGUGAGAGUGCUGUUAACAGUGAGGUCGGGGAAGGUCAGUCUUGUUUUCCUAAUGGCUAAGAGAUGGAGAUCUGGGGACCCUCUUUACUCUGACUGAAGCUUCACCCCAGAAGAUUUUUCUUGAAGACUCUCCGAGUAAAGAGGAGGGACAUGUAAGACACAGGGACCUCUGACCACAUCCCCUCCAUGUCCAGCUUUGCUGCACCAAGAGAGAGAUGUCCACCAGGUCAAUGAGGAGGAUUGCUUUGUGGUUUCUUUGUCCGCAUCAAAUCAUGUGUGACUAGCAGGAGAUUUGCUUGACAUCUCUUUUCACAUAAGAGAGAGAAAUGGAGCACAAGCCAGGGAGGGGCAAGAAAGAGACAGAGACACAGAAUCUGAAGCAGGCUGCAGGGUCUCAGCUGGCAGCACAGAAACCGACACAGGGCUUGAACUCACGAACGCAACCUCCUCAGCAACCACCUUAGGAGGUGGAGGGAGCAUGGAUCCCUGAGUACCGGAUGGAAGAGGACCCUACCAGCCUACAGCAAAUGCUUCAGACUUCCAUUGUGUUGCACCGCUGAGCUUUAGGGGCUUACCUGCUAAGGCAUAAGUUUUGUUUAUCCUAAUUAAUGAAUGUUUGUUGAACUGGUAAAUGAAUAUUCUCUUUGGUCCUUAUAGUAAAUUUAAGGUAGAUUAGUUACUUCCACUUGCCAGAUAAGGAAGGAGAUUCAGAGUUAAGAAGUAACAGAGCCAGAAGUUAAAUUUAUGUCUUCAAAUCCCAUGCUCUUUCGACUAUACCUGGCCGCCUGCAAAAAUACAGUCUCAUGUAUGUUUUAUGUGAAAUUUAGCAAAAGUUACCUCAGUGUAAUAGAGGUUAGGGACUUUCCAAAUGAGAGGGUCCCCUGGUCGUCACUGCUGUCAGGACAGGGUUGUCAUCUUGGAUGCAGUCAAGGCCUCCUGAAUCCAAGCACCUGAAAGAAGAGCCUUGGUCAAGUGUUUUCUCGCCUCAGGGUGGAGGGAGGAGGGUCCGCAGGGGGAUUUCUACCCCUCCUUUUCCCAGCUUAGGGAAGAGGAAUCUCCAUCCCCUAAGCAGAUGGUCAA